rnacentral:rRNA from 1 species
UAACCUGGUUGAUCCUGCCAGUUAGCAUAUGCUUGUCUCAAAGAUUAAGCCAUGCAUGUCUAAGUAUAAACAACUUUAUACUGUGAAACUGCGUACAGCUCAUUAAAUCAGUUAUUAUUUAUUUGAUGGUAUCUCACUACAUGGAUAACCGUAGUAAUUCUAGAGCUAAUACAUGCGAAAAGUCCCAACUCAC